rnacentral:rRNA from 2 species
AAUCCAUAGGUUAAUGAGGCGAACCGGGGGAACUGAAACAUCUAAGUACCCCGAGGAAAAGAAAUCAACCGAGAUUCCCCCAGUAGCGGCGAGCGAACGGGGAGGAGCCCAGAGCCUGAAUCAGCAUGUGUGUUAGUGGAAGCGUCUGGAAAGGCGCGCGAUACAGGGUGACAGCCCCGUACACAAAAGCGCAUGUGCUGUGAGCUCGAUGAGUAGGGCGGGACACGUGGUAUCCUGUCUGAAUAUGGGGGGACCAUCCUCCAAGGCUAAAUACUCCUGACUGACCGAUAGUGAACCAGUACCGUGAGGGAAAGGCGAAAAGAACCCCGGCGAGGGGAGUGAAAAAGAACCUGAAACCGUGUACGUACAAGCAGUGGGAGCACCCUUCGGGGUGUGACUGCGUACCUU